CGCUCAGUUUUAGGUUCGUAGCGUGCGUGCAGUGAAUAUUGGAUUAUUAAAAUAUUAUUUUUUGUAUUUCAGCAUUAUCUUCGUUUCUGAAAAUCGAAUGUAUGAACAGUAGUCGAGCGCCGGCCGGAACUGCAGAUGGCCGCCGCAUCACAUCCGGCGGCACAGUACGAUUGACAUCCUUCGAUGAGGCUUUUGGCAUCGAAGCGUUGACCAGGCGUCUUGCUUAUCAGACCACAGAAACCUAUUCCAAUGAGAACCCAUCCCAUCAAUGAAAACAGGUGGAAUAACCAAGUUAGAACAAAACUACAAAGCAGAUGCAGGCACCUAAAUUAAUUCUAAAGGUCAAUACAUACUUCACUUUACAAAUACAGCUAGCUAAUGUAAUUAGGUAAAGGUUUGUACACAUUCUUAAAGUACUAUAUAGUGUUUUCAAAUUUAUGCUUCAGACUUAGAUAAUUAAGGUUUGAUAUACUUUAAAAAUUUAUGUUUUGCUUCUAUCGUCCCAUUUGCUAGAGUGCAAGGGCAAACAAAACAAUUACACUUACUUCUGUUUUAGCCAUAGGAAAACAGUAUCUAGCAGGAUUUUAUUUUACAUUUUUCUGACCAGGCAUUUUAAUCUACUACCAAAUAAUUUAUAAACUAUGCAUAAUAUUUAACUCUGAGUAAAUAUUAAAAGUGUCUUUGAAAAUGUUGUGACAUUAAAUAGCAUUUUGGCACCAUACUCAACUACAAUUGAAACACAUGAAGUGUCUAGAAAUAAAUUUGUAUUGCUAUGUAGGAUAAUUUUACAAAAAAAUGAUAAUAGCUUAAUAGAACAUUUCGUUAACAUUAACCGUAUUCUGUUACCAAUGCUUUUUACAAUUUGAAAACCAUUAGUUAUGCCUAUUUGGUUCGAAAGUAAUGUUUCGAGAAUGUAAAAUAAACUCGGAAACGUAUCGUUCUUAAGUAAUGUUUCAUUUGUAAAUUGAUAUAAAAACGUUGAUAUAAAAAUUUAUAAUUGUUAUUUGAGUUAUUUUAAUUUUUAUUUAAAUUCCACAUUGUAGGAUUUUUUUAAUCUAAUCCAAAAAGAACUUAUAUAAGGGAUUCUUCAGUUGAAUUAUUACUUUUCCAAUAAUUCAUUUAAUUAUUUUUUUAACGCUAUGAACUAUUUUUCUUUUCAUAAAGUUUUACAAAUGUGCAAUUUUUUAUAUAAGAAUAAUUUUUAUUUUAUUUCAUUAAUUCUCAAUACAUUAUUGUUUCUCUUUUCGACUUGUCGUUUCGCUCGUUUUUACUACGUAGCCAUUAUCAGUAAUAUCGGAAAAUUAUGAAAUUUGUUUGGGUAGAAAUCUAUGUGUAGCUUAAAGAUUAGCAUAACUAAAAAAUAAAAAAUGUGCUUCGUAAACAA